rnacentral:rRNA from 1 species
UUUCCCUACGGGGCGCAGCAGUGAGGAAUAUUGGUCAAUGGGCGAGAGCCUGAACCAGCCAAGUCGCGUGAGGGAAGACGGUCCUAUGGAUUGUAAACCUCUUUUGUCGGGGAGCAAAAGCCGGGCGUGUCCGGCUGUGGGAGUACCCGAAGAAAAAGCAUCGGCUAACUCCGUGCCAGCAGCCGCGGUAAUACGGAGGAUGCGAGCGUUAUCCGGAUUUAUUGGGUUUAAAGGGUGCGCAGGCGGAUUUUUAGGUCAGCGGUCAAAUCGGGGGGCUCAACCCCAUCCAGCCGUUGAAACUGGGG